rnacentral:rRNA from 1 species
GGGGAAUAUUGCACAAUGGGGGAAACCCUGAUGCAGCAACGCCGCGUGAAGGAUGAAGGUUUUCGGAUUGUAAACUUCUUUAGUCAGGGACGAAUAAAUGACGGUACCUGAAGAAUAAGCCACGGCUAACUACGUGCCAGCAGCCGCGGUAAUACGUAGGUGGCGAGCGUUGUCCGGAAUUACUGGGUGUAAAGGGCGUGUAGGCGGGAAUGUAAGUCAGAUGUGAAAUCCCAGGGCUUAACUCUGGAGCUGCAUCUGAAACUAUGUUUCUUGAGUGUCGGAGAGGAAAGCGGAAUUCCUAGUGUAGCGGUGAAAUGCGUAGAGAUCGGGAGGAACACCAGUGGCGAAGGCGGCCUGCUGGGCUUUAACUGACGCUGAAGCACGAAAGCAUGGGUAGCAAACA